rnacentral:lncRNA from 12 species
AAAAAAUGAGGAUACAGGUGUGAAAAUGCAGACGCCCCACUCUGCAGGAUCAGAGAAUGAAGUAUUUAUCUUCCAGCACCACCCAAAAUCAGUCACAGAUGAUGCUCAGGAUGCAAGGGCAGCGAGCCAGUGAUGAGGCAAAGAGCUCAA